rnacentral:rRNA from 1 species
UCCGUAGGUGAACCUGCGGAAGGAUCAUUACCGAGUGUAGGGUUCCUAGCGAGCCCAACCUCCCACCCGUGUUUACUGUACCUUAGUUGCUUCGGCGGGCCCGCCAUUCAUGGCCGCCGGGGGCUCUCAGCCCCGGGCCCGCGCCCGCCGGAGACACCACGAACUCUGUCUGAUCUAGUGAAGUCUGAGUUGAUUGUAUCGCAAUCAGUUAAAACUUUCAACAAUGGAUCUCUUGGUUCCGGCAUCGAUGAAGAACGCAGCGAAAUGCGAUAACUAGUGUGAAUUGCAGAAUUCCGUGAAUCAUCGAGUCUUUGAACGCACAUUGCGCCCCCUGGUAUUCCGGGGGGCAUGCCUGUCCGAGCGUCAUUGCUGCCCAUCAAGCACGGCUUGUGUGUUGGGUCGUCGUCCCCUCUCCGGGGGGGACGGGCCCCAAAGGCAGCGGCGGCACCGCGUCCGAUCCUCGAGCGUAUGGGGCUUUGUCACCCGCUCUGUAGGCCCGGCCGGCGCUUGCCGAACGCAAAUCAAUCUUUUCCAGGUUGACCUCGGAUCAGGUAGGGAUACCCGCUGAACUUAAGCAUAUCAAUAAGCGGAGGACCUGUGUGAAAUU